rnacentral:rRNA from 1 species
GACGAACGCUGGCGGCGUGCUUAACACAUGCAAGUCGAACGGUGAAGGGAUCAGCUUGCUGGUUCUGGAUGAGUGGCGAACGGGUGAGUAACACGUGAGUAACCUGCCCCCUUCUUCUGGAUAACCGCAUGAAAGUGUGGCUAAUACGGGAUAUUCUGCGCCUGCUGCAUGGUGGGUGUGGGAAAGAUAUUGUUUCGGUGGGGGAUGGGCUCGCGGCCUAUCAGCUUGUUGGUGGGGUGAUGGCCUACCAAGGCGGUGACGGGUAGCCGGCCUGAGAGGGUGGACGGUCACACUGGGACUGAGACACGGCCCAGACUCCUACGGGAGGCAGCAGUGGGGAAUAUGGCACAAUGGGCGCAAGCCUGAUGCAGCGACGCCGCGUGAGGGAUGGAGGCCUUCGGGUUGUGAACCUCUUUCGCCAGUGAAGCAGGCCUGUCCCUUGUGGGUGGGUUGACGGUAGCUGGAUAAGAAGCGCCGGCUAACUACGUG